UUGAAGCUUGCAGGAGAAAAGCCCCAACAAUCUCUCCAUAUUGUAUCAAAAAAAAAAAUCCACGGGAUGCAAGUGAAAGGAUCUGAACAGAAGACUAUAGACUAUAGAAUAAAACUAUAGACUAUAGAAUAAAAAAUUAAUAACAGAGUUGUGCCAACUUCUACAUCCAAAACUGGCACCCUUUACGAGGCGCUCACAUGCACUGUCGGUGGAAGAGCAAGUCCUAAUAAGCUUGAAGUUACUAGGCUCUGGAAGCUUCCAGUCCAGCGCUAAAGACAUUAUUAACGUCUCCCAGCCAACUGCAAGCAGAGUUUUUUCAGAAUUUCUCAAUGCCCUAGGUGAGCUUGCAAAUGAUUUUAUACAUAUGCCAGACGAUCCAUUUGAAACCAAAAUGAACUUCUAUAAUAUAAACAAGUUUCCAAAUGUUAUUGGUGCUAUCGACGGGACCCAUGUGCCGAUAAUUGCUCCUGCUGCCAACGAACAUCUUUACAUUUGUCGAACGAAUUUUCAUUCUUUGAAUGUACAGGCAAUCUGCGAUGAAAAAAUGAUCUUUACAGACAUUGUGGUCAAAUAGCCUGGCUCGAGUCAUGAUUCGUUCAUAUUACAACAAUCCAACAUAUAUGACAAAUUCGAAAGUGGCCAAUUUGGUAACAGCUUGCUGAUUGGGGACAGUGGAUACCCAUUAAAAAUGGUUGAUGACACCAAUUUUAAAUCCCAAUGGGCCAGUCGCUUAAAGAUAUAAUAUUGCACACAAAAAGACAAGAGUAAUUAUCGAAAAAGCAUUUGGAGUGUUGAAGCAAAGGUGGCGCAUUCUCGAUCAUAUCGGGGGCAAAUUGUGCUAUACGCUAUUGAAAGUUGCGAAAAUUAUAGUAUGUUGUGUUAUUCUACACAAUAUGUGCAGGAGAAAUAACGUUCCUCUGCCUUUCAAUGGGAGAAUUCACCCUGCACCGGACACAGAUGAAACUGCAGCACAAGAUGAUUUCGAACCCACUGCAGAGUCAGUGCGUUCGGCCAUAGUUUCAAGUUUUAGUUAAGUGUAUCGUCAAAAAUUUUUGUGUGCUUGGAGUAAGGGUGUUGUCAAAAACUUAAUACACGUGAAAUUAGCGACAAUC